CCUACGGGAGGCAGCAGUAGGGAAUAUUGCUCAAUGGGGGAAACCCUGAAGCAGCAACGCCGCGUGGAGGAUGACGGUUUUCGGAUUGUAAACUCCUUUUGUUAGAGAAGAUAAUGACGGUAUCUAACGAAUAAGCACCGGCUAACUCCGUGCCAGCAGCCGCGGUAAUACGGAGGGUGCACGCGUUACUCGGAAUCACUGGGCGUAAAGCGCGCGUAGGCGGGAUAGCAAGUCAGAUGUGAAAUCCUAUGGCUUAACCAUAGAACUGCAUUUGAAACUGUUAUUCUAGAGUAUGGGAGAGAUAGGUGGAAUUCGUGGUGUAGGGGUAAAAUCCGUAGAGAUCAAGAGGAAUACUCAUUGCGAAGGCGACCUGCUAGAACAUAACUGACGCUGAUGCGCGAAAGCGUGGGGAGCAAACAGGAUUAGAUACCCGAGUAGUC
rnacentral:rRNA from 1 species